rnacentral:rRNA from 1 species
GAUGAACGCUGGCGGCGUGCCUAAUACAUGCAAGUCGAGCGAACAGACGAGGAGCUUGCUCCUCUGACGUUAGCGGCGGACGGGUGAGUAACACGUGGAUAACCUACCUAUAAGACUGGGAUAACUUCGGGAAACCGGAGCUAAUACCGGAUAAUAUAUUGAACCGCAUGGUUCAAUAGUGAAAGACGGUUUUGCUGUCACUUAUAGAUGGAUCCGCGCCGCAUUAGCUAGUUGGUAAGGUAACGGCUUACCAAGGCGACGAUGCGUAGCCGACCUGAGAGGGUGAUCGGCCACACUGGAACUGGACCACGGUCCAGACUCCUACGGGAGGCAGCAGUAGGGAAUCUUCCGCAAUGGGCGAAAGCCUGACGCAGCGACGCCGCGUGUGUGAUGAAGGUCUUCGGAUCGUAAAGCUCUGUUAUUGGGGAAGAACAAAUGUGUAAGUAACUAUGCACGUCUUGACGGUACCUGAUCAGAAAGCCACGGCUAACUACGUG